rnacentral:rRNA from 1 species
UAAGGAAUAUUGGUCAAUGGACGCAAGUCUGAACCAGCCAUGCCGCGUGAAGGAAGACGGCCCUACGGGUUGUAAACUUCUUUUGUACAGGAAAAAACCACCGGUCGUGACUCGGUGCUGAUGGUACUGUAAGAAUAAGGAACGGCUAACUCCGUGCCAGAAGCCGCGGUAAUACGGAGGAUCCAAGCGUUAUCCGGAUUCAUUGGGUUGAAAGGGUGCGCAGGCGGAAUGAUAAGUCAGUGGUGAAAUCCUACAGCUUAACUGUAGAACUGCCAUUGAUACGGUCGUUCUUGAGUACACUUGGAGUGGGCGGAAUGUGUCAUGUAGCGGUGAAAUGCUUAGAUAUGACACAGAACACCGAUCGCGAAGGCAGCUCACUAAGUUGUAACUGACGCUCAGGCACGAAAGCGUGGGGAUCAAACA